UGCUCCUUCUGGUUUAGCGGCGGACGGGUGAGUAACACGUGGGCAACCUGCCCUGCAGAUCGGGAUAACUCCGGGAAACCGGUGCUAAUACCGAAUAGUUUGCGGCCUCUCCUGAGGCUGCACGGAAAGACGGUUUCGGCUGUCACUGCAGGAUGGGCCCGCGGCGCAUUAGCUAGUUGGUGGGGUAAUGGCCUACCAAGGCGACGAUGCGUAGCCGACCUGAGAGGGUGAUCGGCCACACUGGGACUGAGACACGGCCCAGACUCCUACGGGAGGCAGCAGUAGGGAAUCUUCCGCAAUGGACGAAAGUCUGACGGAGCAACGCCGCGUGAGUGACGAAGGUUUUCGGAUCGUAAAACUCUGUUGUGAGGGAAGAACAAGUACCAACUAACUACUGGUACCUUGACGGUACCUCACCAGAAAGCCACGGCUAACUACGUGCCAGCAGCCGCGGUAAUACGUAGGUGGCAAGCGUUGUCCGGAAUUAUUGGGCGUAAAGCGCGCGCAGGCGGUUCUUUAAGUCUGAUGUGAAAGCCCACGGCUCAACCGUGGAGGGUCAUU
rnacentral:rRNA from 1 species